GGGUGAGUGUGCUGUAAUGGUUUGAGCACUGGGCUCUGGCUCUGGAGACCAGGGUUUGAAUCCCUGCUUGGCCA